rnacentral:rRNA from 1 species
GGCGGCGUGCCUAACACGUGCAAGUCGUACGAGAAAGCCGGCUUCGGCUGGUGAGUAAAGUGGCGCACGGGUGAGUAACGCGUGGAUAAUCUGCCCUUAAGUGUGGAAUAACGUACCGAAAGGUGCGCUAAUACCGCAUAAUGCCUGGCAACACAAGUUGUCCGGCCAAAGAAGGCCUCUGUUUACAAGCUUUCGCCUCAGGAUGAGUCCGCGUACCAUUAGCUUGUUGGUGGGGUAAUGGCCUACCAAGGCUGCGAUGGUUAGCUGGUCUGAGAGGAUGAUCAGCCACACUGGAACUGAGACACGGUCCAGACUCCUACGGGAGGCAGCAGUGAGGAAUAUUGCGCAAUGGGGGCAACCCUGACGCAGCAACGCCGCGUGAGUGAGGAAGGUUUUCGGACUGUAAAGCUCUGUCGAGCGGGAAGAAGUGUACCAUGGCUAAUAUCCAUGAUAUUUGACGGUACCGCUAGAGGAAGCACCGGCUAACUCCGUG